UACGUAGGUGGCAAGCGUUGUCCGGAUUUAUUGGGUUUAAAGGGGGCGUAGGCGGCCCUGUAAGUCAGUGCUGAAAUAUCCCAGCUUAACUGGGAGGGUGGCAUUGAUACUGCGGGGCUAGAGUACAGAUGAGGUAGGCGGAAUUGACGGUGUAGCGGUGAAAUGCUUAGAUAUCGUCAAGAACACCUAUAGCGAAGGCAGCUUACUAGGCUGUAACUGACGCUGAGGUACGAAAGUGUGGGGAUCAAACAGG
rnacentral:rRNA from 1 species